UCCGCCAACGCCUCAGACACAAUCUGGGCAAAGAACAGAGGGCUGUCUCAUAGCUGUCAUCCACCUUUAUCUGUUUUUACAGGAAACUCUUGGUGGAUCGAGCAAAGUACAUUUCAGACUCAGCAGUUAUUUUGAAGGCUUCAAGUAAAUCUGGUUCAUUUUUAGACAAGAGCUUUAUGGCCUCCUCUUCACCUUGAGGCGACAAGUUUACCAAGAGUUUAAUCUGUUCACUGAGGUAUGCUUCAUCGCAGCGCGCUUCUUCAUCAUGGCAUCUCAGACAAAGUUCGCAGGCCCCUAAAUUUGCCAUUGCAGUUUUCUCUUUGUGCAGUCCAAGUCCUUUGAACUUCCUUCAGAGAAAUAUUCUAUCGUGAUGUCAAUCUUCUUCACACACGAUGCGCGAUGUUUUGGUAAAUGCUUGCCGUCUCCCAAAAAAUGGUCUGGUUUCCUUGAGCAAUGUGAGUUAACCCUUUAGGUGUUAGGAGUUUUUUUCAGUUUUGACAUUACUAUUUCAAAAGGUUGUAGCUUGAAAAUGGUUAGAGAUAAAGGCAUACUGUAAUUGAGAAAAAUCAUCAGUAUGGGAGUAAAUUCACUCAUCUAAUUUGCAUAUUAUGAUAUCACCAGGCUCACAAUUUGUCAGGUCCCUGUCUCCAUGAUACCGGCUCAUCAACAGGCUCAUCAAAAUGUCUGAUCCACUUGUGAAACUCUUCCUCAUCUCUCAAGCAGACCCAGCCAUCAUCAUUGUCAUUACAGCAGGAUGUUGAACACCAUUGCUGCCUCUACCGCUAUUAUUACCACUGUUAUUAUACAGAUAGAUAUAAAGUAUGCCUGUGAAUAUUCUCAUUCAUACAGGUCAUUGUUUUCUCAGGUCAUAUCUAUCUAUUAGCAGUGCAUUUUCUGCCGAGGAGUCUCCCGCGGAUACUACCACGUGUGCCGCUAUUUCUGCGUUUUUUUACAUUCGCGCAACACCCCUCAACAACCCACCACGUCCCAUCCUGCCACCCUGAAAACGGUAAAGCAAAGCAUCCCCUCAAGUAUGCUGCGUGUGGACUGUCAGGGCGAGCGGACUUGAUGCCGCACGCAAACCGGGUUUCAAAGUCUAUAAACUUUUAAACUUUGCAUAGAAUUUACAUGCCCACAAAUGUGAUUCAGAUUGAAGUUACAGAUGUCUGCUAUCUCCUGGUGUAAAGUAUUAACUACAUGAAGCACCAUAUUUGCGCAAAUGGCUUGUUAAUUUCAGCAAUGUUGCUUGUCCCAAUUUUGCGAAAAUUGGAGCUUAAUUGGCGCUUAAAGGGCUGUAACUCAAAUUAAUAUCCUCACGGUUCCUCUCUCAACGCUUCAGGAAUGAUAACAAUUUGCUGAACCGGUUGGAAGGUGAAACAUUGUUUCUGGGAUUAUCUACAAACAUUAGUCAUUCAUUUUGGAGGAAGAAAGGUAAUUUACUUUCCACUGACAGCACAGUGAGUCGAUCUUUCGCUGCGCCAUAAUCUAAAUCUAUAUUUUUUAUGAGCCCAAUAACUUGUCUUCGGUUGUUCUCCUUAACGGGAGGUAGUUCCUGCAGUUUCGUCAGGACCUCAACAAUGAUUGGAUUGUGUUUUGUUUCCAUACUUGUUUUCCAAGACUUUGAAUGUCUCUUUGCCAGUGCUAUAGGACGUUAGUCUGAGGUGUUUUAUUAUCUUUUUGUCUGUACUGUCUAUUAACUGAGCUUUUAUAACUUCAUCUGAUCCAUGUGAGUUUGCUUGUCUUUGCAGUGAUCCCCCAUCUGUAAUAGCUUCUGUUGCAGCCAAUGAAGAUGGGUGUGUACUGGACGGACUGGGACUGGUGGUUGUUGCACUCCGGCCAGUGUUUUCCUUGUUAGUGGUAUGCAAAAUGGGGCUGUUUUAUACUUCACUGCAUUUCUAGUCUCCGAUAGUUUCGACCUGAUUCUUAGUUCCGUCAUCUCUCCCUGUGGUACCGACAUUUGCCACGCUGAAAUAGCUUGCUUUGCCCCGGUCACCUGUUUUUCGAAUUUAUCCAGGAGUGAUUUGUAGUCAUCUCGAUUCAUGUCAGCAGGGGAUAGCACACUAUGUCACAGCCCUUUUCAGCCCUUUUAAUUACGAAUAUAAGCUUAUACUCCAUAUAUCUCGUCAAUAGGUGGAACUGAAUAAGUUCCUCAGUUUCCAUGUACUUUGCUUUGAUUCCUUCCAAGUCGUUUUCCAAUUGCUCUUUAAUUGCUAUGUUUUCUUUUCCAUCAGGUGCUUCACCUUCAAGGAGUUCAACUGUUGUGUCUUCCGUUACGUCAAUUAUUCUUUGAAAAUAACUCAAGAGUCUGGUGAAUUCUCCUCAUAAUUCUUUCUCCACCAUCUUGUCUGCCUUAAACUGAAUAAGGUUACUUUUUAAGUUCUGUGUGUUCUGGUAAUCGAUCCUCCUUUUUAAUGGGUCUGUGUUAGUAGCAGUUUGCUUCCUUUAAAGAAUUUCUUUUCUAUCCAACAACUGCUCUGUGGUUAUCAACUGUCAAGUUCCUUUGUGCAUAAGCCAGCCUGCACUUGAAAAGGCUGAGAAGACCAUAGAGGACGCAUUAUCAACUCAACUCCAUCAGAUUUUCUUCAGUUUUAUUUCACACUUAAACUACACUGCUCAAAAAAAUUAAAGGAACACUUGGAAAACACAUCAGAUCUAAACUGGGGGAAAAAUGAUCUUGAAUAUCU